rnacentral:rRNA from 1 species
GGGUUUGAUCCUGGCUCAGGAUGAACGCUAGCGGCGUGCAUGACCCAUGCAAGUCGGACGGACAAGCUAGAGGGCAAGAAGCCGGAGAGAACGGAAGCGAGAAAUCGUGAAAGGGAAGGAAGGUGGGCGAGAAUCGGUGCUUGUUAGUGGCGAACGGGUGAGUAACACGUAGGUAAUCUACCUCAAGGUGGGGAAUAGCUGGUCGAAAGGCCAGGUAAUACCGCAUAAGAUCGGAAGAUGAAAGGGCGAGAGUUCGCCUUGAGAUGAGCCUGCGGCCGAUUAGCUAGUUGGUGAGGUAACGGCCCACCAAGGCGAUGAUCGGUAGCUGGUCUGAGAGGACGAUCAGCCACACUGGAACUGAUACACGGUCCAGACUCCUACGGGGGGCAGCAGGGAGGAAUAUUGCACAACGGGGGCAACCCAGGUGCAGCAACGCCGCGUGAGUGAAGAAGGCCUUCGGGUCGUAAAACUCUUUUCUGAGGGAUGAGGAAGGACAGUACCUCAGGAACAAGUCUCGGCUAACUACGUGCCAGCAGCCGCGGUAAGACGUAGGAGGCGAGCGUUAUCCGGAUUUACUGGGCGUAAAGGGCAAGUAGGCGGUAUGGCAAGUCAGUUGUGACAGAUCCCGGCUCAACUGGGAGAGGACGAAUGAGACUGCCAAACUAGAGGACAGGAGAGGGGAGCGGAAUUCCUUGUGUAGCGGUGGAAUGCUCAGAUACAAGGAGGAACACCAGUGGCGAAGGCGGCUCUCUGGCCUGAUCCUGACGCUGAAGAGCGAAAGCUAGGGUAGCAAACGGGCUUAGAUACCCCGGUAGUCCUAGCUGUAAACGUUGGGUACUAGGUAUUGGGAGUGAGAACACUUUCAGUGCCGAAGCGAACGCGUUAAGUACCCCGCCUGGGGACUACGGCCGCAAGGUUAAAACUCAAAGGAAUUGACGGGGGCCCGCACAAGCAGCGGAGCGUGUGGUUUAAUUCGAUGCGACACGAAGAACCUCACCUGGGUUUGACAUACAAGUAGUAGGAGAGCGAAAGCCGACCGAGCCGCAAGGCAGCUUGAACAGGUGCUGCAUGGCUGUCGUCAGCUCGUGCCGUGAGGUGUUGGGUUAAGUCCCACAACGAGCGCAACCCUUAUUGCCAGUUACAAGUAUCUGGCGAGACUGCCGGCGUAUAACCGGAGGAAGGUGGGGAUGACGUCAAGUCAGCAUGGCCUUUAUAUCCAGGGCUACACACACGCUACAAUGGCCGGUACAGAGGGCAGCGAAGCCGCGAGGCGGAGCCAAUCCCACAAAGCCGGCCCCAGUUCAGAUUGCAGGCUGCAACCCGCCUGCAUGAAGUCGGAGUUGCUAGUAACCGCAGGUCAGCUAAACUGCGGUGAAUACGUUCCCGGGCCUUGUACACACCGCCCGUCACGUCAUGGGAGCUGGCAAUACCUAAAGACGGUGAGCCGACCGGAAGGAGGCAGCUGUUUAAGGUAGGGCUGGUGACUGGGACGAAGUCGUAACAAGGU